GACCCGUCCUUGAAACACGGACCAAGGAGUCUAUCAUGUGCACAAGUCAUUGGGCUUUACUAAACCCAUAGGCGAAGUGAAAGCGAAGGUUUCCGCACGGAGACCGAGGGCCGAUCCCGCCCUAUGGGGCGGGCGCAGGCUCGGGACUUGCGCUCCCCAUUGUGGGAGGUGAGUACCAUGAGUGCCCAUGGUGGGACCCGAAAGAUGGUGAACUAUGCUUGGCCAGGAUGAAGCCAGAGGAAACUCUGGUGGAGGUCCGUAGCGAUUCUGACGUGCAAAUCGAUCGUCGGAGCUGGGUAUAGGGGCGAAAGACUAAUCGAACUAUCUAGUAGCUGGUUCCCUCCGAAGUUUCCCUCAGGAUAGCUGGUGCUCGUUAUACAGAGUUUCAUCCGGUAAAGCGAAUGAUUAGAGGUCUUGGGGACGAAACGUUCUCAACCUAUUCUCAAACUUUAAAUGGGUGAGAGGUCGGGCUUGCUUGAAUUGUGAAGCUCCGACAGCGAAUCUGAGUGCCUAGUGGGCCAUUUUUGGUAAGCAGAACUGGCGCUGUGGGAUGAACCAAACGUCGAGUUAAGGGGCCUAAACGGACGCUCAUCAGAUCCCAUGAAAGGUGUUGGUUGCUAUAGACAGCAGGACGGUGGCCAUGGAAGUCGGAAUCCGACUAAGGAGUGUGUAACAACUC
rnacentral:rRNA from 1 species